UACAGAGGUCUCGAGCGUUAGGCGGAAUCACUGGGCUUAAAGCGUGUGUAGGUGGAUCGUUAAGUACCUUGUGAAAUCCCACGGCUUAACCGUGGAACUGCUUGGUAUACUGGCGGUCUUGAGCCACUUAGGGGCUACCGGAACAAAUGGUGGAGCGGUGAAAUGCGUAGAGAUCGGGAGGAACACCAGAGGCGAAGGCGGCGACCUGGACAGGUACUGACACUCAACUACGAAAGCGUGGGGAGCAAACAGG
rnacentral:rRNA from 1 species